UUAUACGGUAUAAACACGUGGCUACUGCUCAGCCACACAAUCUCUCUGUCUACACAGCUUUUCUCGGCUUAGCAGUACCAAGCCUGGUUUCAAAAUUCAAAAUUCAAACUCAUCAGCACAGAUACUCUCCCCCACAGGUACUCACAUCCUCUUCUAAUUUCAAAAUUGAAUUUGAAACUGAAGCUGCGACUGUCUGUAGUGUGCUCUUUUUGUAGGGUUUCGCAGCGUCGCCGCUGGGAAAUCAACUCUCCGAUUCAAUCUUUCUUUCUCGCCGGACCUGGUUUCAAGGCGCCACUCGAAAAUAAUCCUCUCACCGAAGUUGGUAAGAAGAACAGUGUUUGGGGUAAGUGUUUACUAACAGAUUUGUUCACUGAUUGCACGGGCUUAUUCGCUAUUCUUCAGAUUAUACAUGUCGAGACAGAAAAUUUACACAGAUUGGCGACAUGGUUAUCCCGUAGUAGAUGCAUCUUUUUCUCUGCUUGAAAGUGGGUAUGCUCUGAUUUUGUUUUAAUGAUUGCGAUUUUUUGUUUUGGUACUUGGAAGUGUGUUGUUUUAAGUGUGUAGUCCAUCUGAUUAAAUUUAACUUCUCUACAUGUUACUGAUUCCUCACUCAAGUCCCAUUUGUAAAUGUUUUAUUUUAGUUUGCACUAUAUGUUAGUCUCCUCAUUAUUUGAUUUUAUGUUUAUUUAAUUGGGAAUUGCAUAUUUGUCACCACGUCAUGUACACGAAAGUUCAUCAGUUUGCAAUGGUACACCAGCUCCCAUAUGUCAAAAUUAUUGCCAGUAAUUCACUUUAAUAAAUUAUGUGGUCAUGUAUACAUUUUUCCCAUUAACCUGUUUUAUAAUAUGGUUUAUAUAGAUUUUGGUACAAGCUGUGAGUUUGUUCCAAAAUAUAUCAUGUAUGAAUUUUAUUAUUUUCAUCAUAUUAUCAAUUUUAUGCUGCCUUUUAUAUGACUUGAUUCACUUUACAACUUGGAAAUAUGGUGAUGUUUUUAAAAAAAGAUAGGAUUUUUGUGAGUGUCCAGAGAUGUUUUAUUCAGUUUCAUAAUAAAAUGACAGUGUAUAAGGCCUCAGAAAAAGUAAAAAUCACAGAGAAAUGCUUUGGCUUCGAGAUUCCGUUUCCACAUGAGAAAUUUUAAAACAUUGAAUGAGAGUUUGAGUCAAUUGAGCCAGCGCAAGAAGAGUCCCUGAUGGAGCCGGUGCAUUCCUAGCGAAGGCUGAAUACUUAUUGGGGUAUAAAGUAGCUAAUUAUAGUUGAUAAAGUAAUCACAAAUAUAAUCUGCAGGCUAUAUGUGCAACAAUGUCUUUUUUUUCAAAUUCAAGUUGUCUGACUGUAAAAUCUCUAAUAUGAUUAUUCUUUUUUCCAUUGAAAUUUGGUAGAUAAUCAACUAAGUGGAAGCAUAUUACUGGAAAUAGUAAGUGGUCAGAGAAAGAACUCUGUAAGUGAUCAUGUUGUGUUCCUUCAGGCUUGGAAUUCUUCAGCACUAAAAAUACGCACGAUGUAUCUCUACACAACUUCAAACAAGUCCAAGCCCAGCUCAUAGUUACAGGUCUGUUUCAACACUCCUUGCUUUUAGUCGUGUAAAAAGCUCUGUUCUUUACCCUCUGGAGUUAAUUCUGGUAUGUGCAAUUGUACUUUUCGGGCUUUUGCAAAUGUAUUGACAAGUGUAUCGAAGCUGGUGAGCUGAUUAGUUCUCCUAAACCUGGUAGUAUCAACACUUGCCGGGUUGUGGCUGUUGAACUCAAUGUGGCAGGGGAUGGUGAGGUCAUUAAGUUGGCAGUCGCAAAAGCAUGGAAAUGUUUUUGGUCGCAUUGAUGUUUUGGUCAAUAAUGCUAGAAUAAGAGGUGAUGAUUGUAUGUCUAUUGAAAGCGGAACUCAGAAGCUGAAAAUCGCAGAUAUUAUCUGCGGACCAGGUCAUGGUAUCAGGUACAUACAAUUUGUUCUUAUGUCAGUUUUGUUUUAAGUAUUUUUGUGCACAAUUCUUUUCCUAUCUGAUUCGUUUCUGUAAGUUAAGCAUCAGAAGUCUAGGCGAUGGGAAUUCGUAAGCUCAUGCUUCAGAUGUAGUUGUUGAUGGAGCUAAGAUAUCUGGAACUGAAACUAAGGAUGGGAAGGCUGCAACUUAAAGAUUAAUGAACAAACUAUUGGGAAGCCUCAAGCUAUAUACCAGCAGAAAGCUACAAAUGCAGAACUCAAUUUCAGAGAAGAUGGAUCACUUGGGUUUGCAAGGUAUGACUACUCAGUUUGCUUAACAUAAAUUUGACUUCUCCCUUCUUAAUAAAUUAAUAAAAUUUCUCAGCACUUGCAAAAGUUACUGGAAGUUACAGGAGCUAGGUACCAAGUUACAGGAAGUGUUAUCAGAGGCCAUUGGCCUUGAAAAAGAGAUGCCAUUGCUCUUGCAAAUGUUUGAUUUAAGACUAUUUUGAGGACUAUAGUUUUAUGAGUUAGGAUCAAAGAUUUCAUUUUCUAGAAUUGAUUUCAUUUCCAGAUUUCUUGCGUUUCUAAUUUGCUCUCUGUCACUCUCUUAAUUUGUAGGUUAAAUAUUGUAGUAGCAGUAAUAUUCAGUAUUCAGGUAUCCGAUCUCCUUUUGUCUCUAUUAUAUUCGUUGAGUAAUGAUUGUAUUAUUGCUCUAUUUUAAAUUUUUUUGAUGUGGGAGAUAUUUAGUUAAUAAUCAUUUUUCUCUCAGUUAUUCAUGGAUUAAGUAUAAUAUUGAUCUGCAUUUGUUGGUCUUUUUGAUGUGAAAUACAUGUCAUAGGGAAUAUAUCUCCUCAGCUGUAUACUAUCUUUUUUUUUGUGGAAAAGAUAUUCUUCUUUGUUUUAGUAUUGUGAUAAUUUAUCAAAUGUUUGAUAGAAUGUCCUAAAGAACUAAUAAUUCCAAAAACAUGUCAUAGAAAAUUACAAAAUCAAAUUGUCCUGCUUUACUAAUCUAAUUUGUUCUUUCUUACAGUUAGAAUUUAAAAAUUAAGAAGGAAAAGGAACUACUCAGAAGCGUUUACAUGUUUAUAUCGUUAUUAGUCGAGGCGGUGUUACAGCCUUCUUAUGUGUUUUUCGAUAAAUAUUAUUCUCUCUGGUAGUUAUAUUAUCAGGCACCUGUAGCUCUGUUAAUGCUACAGGUACUUAUGAUGAUAAAGUUAUCCCGAGGUAUUCUUUCCCUAAUGCACUUUAACAUGUAGAAUUAUAACCUCACUAUAUCCUAUCUGUCUGUCAUUGUAUAUAAUGAUCUCAUCUUCUGAUAUGGAUUAUUCUCUCCGUUUUAUGUUCUGUUUUGAUGUAGGGGGUUUUCUGCUUGGAUAAAGUUUAUUCCUGGAAUUUCGUUUAGAACUUAAAAUGAUCCUUUUAAGGUAAGUUAUAUAGAGAAUAAAAUAUUCAAGAUUGAUUACUGAUUUUGACUCAUGUGAAACAUAGGCGGAAAUGCAACAUUUUACAGAAAUGAUUGUCAACAUGAUGAAGUCGAGCAGGUUAUUUGGACCCAGGGUGGACCGAUUAUCAUGUCUCAGAUUGAGAAUGAAUAUGGUCCGGUAGAAUGGGAAAUAGGUGCCCCAGGAAAAUCUUAUACAAAAUGGUGCAAACAAGAUGAUGUACCUGAUCCAAUUGUAAGUGAUUUUCAAUAAAUUUUCAUUUGUGUUCAGAUUUCUGCAGCAAAGAUACAGGCAACUUAUACAAAGCAAGUCCAUGAUCCAAGAGCGGGGAAACGAACCUGUUCAACAACAUAAUGUAGAAGAUGUUGGAGUAUACCUAAAGAGAGAUGAGUUUUAAGAUGUUGGCGGUGUAGACAUUACUCAAUUUUGUAACUGAGAAGACAACACGUGAGUUGUGCAAAAAGAAACAUAUUAAGCUGCACUUUACGAGAAGAAGAAACCACAAAUGGGGAUGUAACUGUUAGGCAGUAGUAAUUCAAUUUCAGUUGAAGUGUAAUUAGUUGGGAGUUGCAAUCAAUUUACAAGUCAAUGUAACAGAUAAA